rnacentral:lncRNA from 1 species
AGCGGAGCUCCCAUUUAGGGGUCACAGGAUCAAGAGAAACGUGCCACAAGCUGGAGGCUGUGCAAAACUGGCAGCAAACAUCUCUGGGGAGAGCCCUGCACACAGCCACCCCAACCUCUGGCACCACCACUCUGAUCAGACAGCAGCCAUCAACAUCUAGUCGAGACCCUCCACUAGCAAAGAGAUUAUGACUCACUGAAGGCUCAGAUGAUCAUGAAUAAUUUUCAGAAAUAAAGUACUUUUAAAUUCAGGAGAAAGAAAAGAAUGAUGAAAAAUAUAAAAUAUGAAGAAAGAAGAAGAUGAAGCUCAGUGCCUGCUCGCAAUCCUGGCUGUGCCUACAGUGUUUUACUCAACAAGUUCUGGAUAAUCUCUCCUGAGCUUGUCAAUGAUACCAGAGGUGGAAUGGAUGGUGGUACAGAGCAAGGCUAUGGAAUCUGAAGGUGGUGGUCAUCACCCUCACUUGUUGGAUGGAGUCUUGCUCUGUUGCCCAGGCUGGAGCACAAUCUCAGUUCACUGAAACCUCCGCCUCCUGGAUUCAAGCAAUUCUCCUGCCUCAGCCUCCUGAGUAGCUGGGAUUGCAGCUACAAUGCCACCAGGUGAUCGGAAUUUUUCAGCUCCAUUAAAAUCUUAUGAGACCAUCACUGAAUAUGUGGUCCGUCAUUGACCAAAACAUCAUGAUGCAGCUCAUGACUAUAGUUCUGUCUCAGAAGAUCCAGGAAAUAGUAGGUUCCUCCGAGGCCGGAAGCCCAUUCAGUAUCUUAGCCAAUGGCAUGUCUUAUAGAUAGAUACAAAUAGUGCAGCCUUUUGCCGAAGAAAUGAUAUCUUGUUUCCUUUGCCAGGAGCUGUGUGCUUGCAACAGUAAUAUAAAUGUGCAGCCCACAUUAGGUACUCAAACAACUUGUCAUUUGUUUGAAAAGGAGCCCUUUAUUUGACUAGAAGAAACAGGAGCCAAAUGAGCUUGAUUCCUUCUCAUGCCAGCCAGCAAUGCAAUUACAGGAAUGGGGACUGGGGAAGGACAAAUUGAUCAGUCACCCAUGCACAUAGGUGCAGGGGCUAUGUACUUGAAGUGGUUGGUUGUGGUUGGGACCCUGCCUUGGUCUGUUAAUUACAUAUUGCAAAAUGGGAUCUCAUAAGUGACUGUAAUUCAUUGGUAAUUUCUUGAGAAAUUACAAUUUUUGACAGGAAAGUUUUUUUUCUUUGUGUCCCCUGAUAAAUUCUCCUGGUUUGUAAGACUAAGAUUCAGCUCUCUUCAGACUAAGAUCACAGCUUGGGUGUGAUUUGAUCCUGCUUCAAGCUGGCAAAGCCUCAGA